UACGUAGGUGGCGAGCGUUACUCGGAAUUACUAGGCGUAAAGCGAGUGUAAACGAAAACAUUAGUCCGCUGUUAAAUCUCACGGCUCAACCGUGAACAGCCGGCGGAUACUGUGCUUCUUGAAUUCGGUAGAGGAAACUGGAAUUCCAGGUGUAGCGGUGAAAUGCGUAGAUAUCUGGAAGAACGCCAAAGGCGAAGGCAGGUUUCUGGGCCGCCAUUGACGCUGAGACUCGAAAGCUAGGGGAGCAAACAGG
rnacentral:rRNA from 1 species